rnacentral:rRNA from 1 species
CUGAUGCAGCACGCCGCGUGAGUGAUGAAGGUCUUCGGAUUGUAAAGCUCUGUCUUUUGGGACGAUAAUGACGGUACCAGAGGAGGAAGCCACGGCUAACUACGUGCCAGCAGCCGCGGUAAUAC